rnacentral:ncRNA from 1 species
AACGACCGGCCAGGCACGUGUGCCCGGCCCACAAGUGGAGGCUCCGAUCUCCCACCCGGCCACCCUCAGGGGCGGCGGGUCAUCCGGUCAGGUGGCCACCAUCGUUCCGUACGGACGAUGGAGCCGCCCGAUGUGCGCCCCGCGGUAGACCGCGGCGGUGUUCCGGUUUUCUUGGAGCCCCGCCUGUGUCCGUCCGGGGCAUUUUUU